rnacentral:rRNA from 1 species
GAUGAACGCUAGCGGCAGGCUUAAUACAUGCAAGUCGUGGGGCAGCAUGAAGUAGCAAUACUUUGAUGGCGACCGGCAAACGGGUGCGGAACACGUACACAACCUUCCUUUUAGUGGGGAAUAGCCCAGAGAAAUUUGGAUUAAUACCCCGUAACAUAGCGAUGAGGCAUCUCAUUGCUAUUAUAGCUUCGGCGCUAGAUGAUGGGUGUGCGUAUGAUUAGAUAGUUGGCGAGGUAACGGCUCACCAAGUCUACGAUCAUUAGCUGAUGUGAGAGCAUGAUCAGCCAAACGGGCACUGAGACACGGACCCGACUCCUACGGGAGGCAGCAGUAAGGAAUAUUGGUCAAUGGACGAAAGUCUGAACCAGCCAUGCCGCGUGAAGGAUUAAGGUCCUCUGGAUUGUAAACUUCUUUUAUAUGGGACGAAAAAAGGUCUUUCUAGAUCACUUGACGGUACCAUAUGAAUAAGCACCGGCUAACUCCGUGCCAGCAGCCGCGGUAAUAC